GAUGAACGCUGGCGGCGUGCCUAAUACAUGCAAGUCGAGCGAACAGACGAGGAGCUUGCUCCUCUGACGUUAGCGGCGGACGGGUGAGUAACACGUGGAUAACCUACCUAUAAGACUGGGAUAACUUCGGGAAACCGGAGCUAAUACCGGAGAAUAUAUUGAACCGCAUGGUUCAAUAGUGAAAGACGGCUUUGCUGUCACUUAUAGAUGGAUCCGCGCCGCAUUAGCUAGUUGGUAAGGUAACGGCUUACCAAGGCAAUGAUGCGUAGCCGACCUGAGAGGGUGAUCGGCCACACUGGAACUGAGACACGGUCCAGACUCCUACGGGAGGCAGCAGUAGGGAAUCUUCCGCAAUGGGCGAAAGCCUGACGGAGCAACGCCGCGUGAGUGAUGAAGGUCUUCGGAUCGUAAAACUCUGUUAUUAGGGAAGAACAAAUGUGUAAGUAACUAUGCACGUCUUGACGGUACCUAAUCAGAAAGCCCCGGCUAACUACGUG
rnacentral:rRNA from 1 species